UAGUCCAGACCGUAAAUGAUGCACGCUAGAUGUAUUCUCCUUGAGAGGAUGUGUCGUAAGCUAACGCGUUAAGCGUGCCGCCUGAGUAGUAUAGUCGCAAGGCUGAAACUCAAAGGGAUAGGCGGGGGAACACACAAGCAGUGGAUUGCCUCGAUUAAUUGGAUAAUACGCCAAGAAUCUUACCUGGGCUUGACAUCCCGAGAACCUUUUCGAAAGUUUAGGGUGCCCUCCGGGGAGCUCGGUGACAGGUGCUGCAUGGCCGUCGUCAGCUCGUGCCGCAAGGUGUCCGGUUAAGUCCGGAAACGAGCGCAACCCUCGUCCUUAGUUAGAAUGUCUAAGGAGACUGCCUCGGUAACGAGGAGGAAGGAGAGGAUGACGUCAGGUCACUAUGGCCCUUAUGCCCAGGGCGUCAGAGACAAUACAAUGGGUGGUACAAUAGGUAACGAGACCGUGAGGUUUAGCCAAUCCCCAAAACCAUCCUCAGUGCGGAUUGUAGUCUGGAACUCGACUAC
rnacentral:rRNA from 1 species